ACUGGCGGCGACCGGCAAACGGGUGCGGAACACGUACGCAACCUUCCUCUAAGCGGGAGAUAGCCCGGAGAAAUCCGGAUUAAUACCCCAUAGGAUUGUGGAUUGGCAUCAAUCAGCAAUUAAAGAUUUAUCGCUUANAGAUGGGCGUGCGUCUGAUUAGGUAGUUGGUGAGGUAACGGCUCACCAAGCCGACGAUCAGUAACUGGCGUGAGAGCGCGACCAGUCACACGGGCACUGAGACACGGGCCCGACUCCUACGGGAGGCAGCAGUAAGGAAUAUUGGCCAAUGGACGGAAGUCUGAACCAGCCAUGCCGCGUGGAGGAUGAANGUCCUCUGGAUUGUAAACUUCUUUUAUCUGGGAAGAAAUGCUUUUUUUCUAAAGAGCUUGACGGUACCAGAUGAAUAAGCACCGGCUAACUCCGUGCCAGCAGCCGCGGUAAUACGGAGGGUGCAAGCGUUAUCCGGAUUCACUGGGUUUAAAGGGUGCGUAGGCGGAUUAGAAAGUCCGUUGUGAAAUCUCUGAGCUUAACUCGGAAAUUGCGGUGGAUACUAUUAGUCUUGAAUACUGUGGAGGUUAGCGGAAUAUGUCAUGUAGCGGUGAAAUGCAUAGAUAUGACAUAGAACACCAAUUGCGAAGGCAGCUGGCUACACAGAUAUUGACGCUGAGGCACGAAAGCGUGGGGAUCAAACANGAUUAGAUACCCUGGUAGUCCACGCCCUAAACGAUGAUUACUCGACAUUUGCGAUACACAGCAAGUGUCUGAACGAAAGCAUUAAGUAAUCCACCUGGGAAGUACGACCGCAAGGUUGAAACUCAAAGGAAUUGACGGGGGUCCGCACAAGCCGUGG
rnacentral:rRNA from 1 species